CUACGGGCUGCAGCAGUAAGGAAUAUUGCACAAUGGGGGAAACCCUGAUGCAGCAACGCCGCGUGAACGAAGAAGGCCUUCGGGUUGUAAAGUUCUUUUCUGGGGGAAGAGGAAGGACGGUACCCCAGGAACAAGUCUCGGCUAACUACGUGCCAGCAGCCGCGGUAAGACGUAGGAGGCAAGCGUUAUCCGGAUGCAUUGGGCGUAAAGGGCAAGUAGGCGGUUGUCAAAGUCAGGUGUGACAUCUCCCGGCUCAACUGGGAGGGAGCGCUUGAUACUAGGCGACUAGAGGGCAGAGAGGGAGGCGGAACUCCUAGUGUAGCGGUGGAAUGCUCAGAUACUAGGAAGAACACCAGUGGCGAAGGCGGCCUCCUGGACUGACCCUGACGCUGAGAGGCGAAAGCUAGGGUAGCGAACGGGAUUAGAUACCCGUGUAGUC
rnacentral:rRNA from 1 species